GCCCAACAGCUAGCCCACCUAAACAAUUUCAACAAACCCUUGUUAAUAACCCCUAAAUACCCUAGUAUUUAAAUUAAACAAACCAUUUUUCCCCCUUAGUAUAGGCGAUAGAAAAGGGACUACGGCGCAAUAGAGAAAGUACCGCAAGGGAACGCUGAAAGAGAAAUGAAAUAACCCAGUAAAGCCCAAAAAAGCAGAGAUUUAACCUCGUACCUUUUGCAUCAUGAUUUAGCGAGUGUACCCCAAGCAAAGAGCACUUUAGUUUGACGUCCCGAAACUACGUGAGCUACUCCAAGACAGCCUAUUAAUAGGGCGCACCCGUCUCUGUUGCAAAAGAGUGGGGAGAGCUUUGAGUAGAGGUGAUAAACCUACCGAACCUAGUUAUAGCUGGUUGUCCAAGAAAUGAAUAGAAGUUCAGCCUCUUGGCUUCUCUUUUCACCCUAGUUUAACCCCUAUUGAUGCAUUAAAGAAACCGAGAGAGUUAGUCAAAGGGGGUACAGCCCCUUUGAAUCAAGACACAACUUUAUCAGGAGGGU
rnacentral:rRNA from 1 species